CCUACGGGUUGCACCAGUGGGGAAUAUUGCACAAUGGGCGCAAGCCUGAUGCAGCCAUGCCGCGUGUGUGAAGAAGGUCUUCGGAUUGUAAAGCACUUUCGACGGGGACGAUGAUGACGGUACCCGUAGAAGAAGCCCCGGCUAACUUCGUGCCAGCAGCCGCGCUAAUACGAAGGGGGCUAGCGUUGCUCGGAAUGACUGAGCGUAAAGGGCGCGUAGGCGGUUUAUGCAGUCAGAUGUGAAAUCCCCGGGCUUAACCUGGGAACUGCAUUUGAGACGCAUAGACUAGAGGUCGAGAGAGGGUUGUGGAAUUCCCAGUGUAGAGGUGAAAUUCGUAGAUAUUGGGAAGAACACCGGUGGCGAAGGCGGCAACCUGGCUCGAUACUGACGCUGAGGCGCGAAAGCGUGGGGAGCAAACAGGAUUAGAUACCCGCGUAGUC
rnacentral:rRNA from 1 species